rnacentral:tRNA from 1 species
GGAGGGCUGGCCGAGCGGCGAAGGCACCCGCCUGCUAAGCGGGUGGGCGGCCCUGAGGUCGUCCCGGGGGUUCGAAUCCCCCGCCCUCCG